AAGAGCUAGUUCCAGGGCAACCUCCAAAGCCACAGAGAAACCCGUCUCAAAAAAAGAAAAAGAAUAGUUGUGUGGUGAUGAAGUUUGAUUUACAGUGAAAAGUGAUUUCUCUUGAAUUUUAGGCACUCAGAAUGGUCCAGCGUUUGACAUACCGACGUAGGCUUUCCUACAAUACAGCCUCCAACAAAACUAGGCUGUCUCGAACCCCUGGCAACAGGAUUGUUUA